GGAGGCGUGGCGAAACGGCAAACGCGCCGGGCUUAAAACCUGGUCCCUCUGUGGGUUCGACUCCCACCGCCUCCA
rnacentral:tRNA from 1 species